rnacentral:rRNA from 1 species
UGACCCUACGGGGGCAGCAGUGAGGAAUAUUGGUCAAUGGGCGGAAGCCUGAACCAGCCAGGUCGCGUGAGGGAAGACGGUCCUAUGGAUCGUAAACCUCUUUAGGCGGGGAGCAAUGCCGGGCACGCGUGUCCGGAGGGAGAGUACCCGCAGAAUAAGCAUCGGCUAACUCCGUGCCAGCAGCCGCGGUAAUACGGAGGAUGCGGGCGUUAUCCGGAUUUAUUGGGUUUAAAGGGUGCGUAGGCGGAUUUUUAAGUCAGCGGUAAAAUGUCCGGGCUCAACCCGGGCCGGCCGUUGAAACUGGG